UACGUAGGGUGCAAGCGUUGUCCGGAAUUAUUGGGCGUAAAGAGCUCGUAGGCGGUCUGUUGCGUCGGCUGUGAAAACCCGGGGCUCAACUCCAAGCUUGCAGUCGAUACGGGCAGGCUAGAGUUCGGUAGGGGAGACUGGAAUUCCUGGUGUAGCGGUGAAAUGCGCAGAUAUCAGGAGGAACACCGAUGGCGAAGGCAGGUCUCUGGGCAUUAACUGACGCUGAGGAGCGAAAGCAUGGGGGAGCGAACAGG
rnacentral:rRNA from 1 species